CGUAUAUUAAAGUUGUUGCAGUUAAAAAGCUCGUAGUUGGAUUUGUGGCGUACGGUGUGUUCCGGGCACUUGUUGUCUGAGUAACCUGCUGUUGCCAUCCUUGGGUGGAACCUGUGUGGCAUUAGGUUGUCGUGCAGGGGAUGCCCAUCUUUUACUGUGAAAAAAUUAGAGUGCUCAAAGCAGGCUUAUGCCGUUGAAUAUAUUAGCAUGGAAUAAUGAGAUAGGACUUUUUUACUAUUUUGUUGGUUUGCGUAAAGAGGUAAUGAUUAAUAGGGACAGUUGGGGG
rnacentral:rRNA from 1 species